AUCAUAGCCAGACACAUCAUAAUUAAAUUUCUAAGGCCAGAGCCAAAGAGAAAAUCUAAAUAGCAGCCAGAGAGAAAAGGAUGCAUCAUGUGCAGAAGAACAAAGGAUUGCAGCUUGCUUCUAGUCACAAACCAGGCAGACUCAAGACAAUAAGAGGUCAUCUUUAAAGCGCUGAAACAAAACAAAACAAAACUCAAACCACCAAGCUAGAAUUCUAUUCCCCAUGAAGACUUUUUCAAAGAUGAAGACAAAACACAAGCAUUUUCAGGUCAACAAAAGGUAACAGAGUGUCACUAUAAGAAGCAAAAGGAGUUCCUUCACAGAAGGAAAGCGAUCCAGAUGGAAACUUUACCCACAGAAAGAGAUGAAGAAUGCUCCAAAUGGAAGACUUCUGUUUCUCUACCACCUCUUCGCAAGUCGGGAGUGAAAAAUAGAACUCAUACAGAUACGAAUUGCUGAGGUGAAUGAGCGGUACUUGUGUACGCCUAUAAGAAACGCAGGGGACAGCGGUAAACUGAGGAACGCAUCUGGCAUUUAAAAGGAGGAUCCAUUACGCAACUUGAGUUGAUCGUUGUUGGGAUGGAAUUGAGCGGACACUUCCUUUCACGUUAGCAACUACUUUAACUUAACCAAAAUAAAAAAGUCCUAGCACAUACGUA